rnacentral:precursor_RNA from 14 species
CUUGAUCUGCUUGAUGAACAAAACGUCGUCAGCUGCAAAAGUCGUGGUGGCAUCACAAGUUGUCUUGCCAUCCGACAUUUGUGGUUGACGAUGCGUCAAGUAGAUUAUCGAAAAAUGU